rnacentral:rRNA from 1 species
GACGAACGCUGGCGGCCUGCUUAACACAUGCAAGUCGAACGGUAAGGCCCUUCGGGGUACACGAGUGGCGAACGGGCCAGUAACACGUGGGUGAUCUGCCCUGCACUUCGGGAUAAGCCUGGGAAACUGGGUCUAAUACCGGAUAGGCCCCCGCGCUCCCCGGUGUCGCGUGGAAAGCGUUUGAGGUGUGGGAUGGGCCCGCGGCCUAUCAGCUUGUUGGUGGGGUAAUGGCCUACCAAGGCGACGACGGGUAGCCGGCCUGAGAGGGUGACCGGCCACACUGGGACUGAGAUACGGCCCAGACUCCUACGGGAGGCAGCAGUGGGGAAUAUUGCACAAUGGGCGCAAGCCUGAUGCAGCGACGCCGCGUGAGGGAUGACGGCCUUCGGGUUGUAAACCUCUUUCAGUAGGGACGAAGCGCAAGUGACGGUACCUACAGAAGAAGGACCGGCCAACUACGUGCCAGCCGCCGCGGUAA